AGAGUUUGAUCAUGGCUCAGGACGAACGCUGGCGGCACGCUUAACACAUGCAAGUCGAACGAGAGAAGAGGAGCUUGCUUUUCUGAUCUAGUGGCGGACGGGUGAGUAACACGUGAGCAAUCUGCCUUUCAGAGGGGGAUACCGAUUGGAAACGAUCGUUAAUACCGCAUAACAUAAUUGAACCGCAUGAUUUGAUUAUCAAAGAUUUAUCGCUGAAAGAUGAGCUCGCGUCUGAUUAGCUAGUUGGUAAGGUAACGGCUUACCAAGGCGACGAUCAGUAGCCGGACUGAGAGGUUGAUCGGCCACAUUGGGACUGAGACACGGCCCAGACUCCUACGGGAGGCAGCAGUGGGGAAUAUUGCACAAUGGAGGAAACUCUGAUGCAGCGAUGCCGCGUGAGGGAAGAAGGUUCUAGGAUUGUAAACCUCUGUCUUCAGGGACGAAAAAAGACGGUACCUGAGGAGGAAGCUCCGGCUAACUACGUGCCAGCAGCCGCGGUAAUACGUAGGGAGCGAGCGUUGUCCGGAAUUACUGGGUGUAAAGGGAGCGUAGGCGGGAUCGCAAGUCAGAUGUGAAAACUAUGGGCUUAACCCAUAAACUGCAUUUGAAACUGUGGUUCUUGAGUGAAGUAGAGGUAAGCGGAAUUCCUAGUGUAGCGGUGAAAUGCGUAGAUAUUAGGAGGAACAUCAGUGGCGAAGGCGGUUUACUGGGCUUUAACUGACGCUGAGGCUCGAAAGCGUGGGGAGCAAACAGGAUUAGAUACCCUGGUAGUCCACGCCGUAAACGAUGAUUACUAGGUGUGGGGGGACUGACCCCUUCCGUGCCGCAGCAAGCGCAAUAAGUAAUCCACCUGGGGAGUACGACCGCAAGGUUGAAACUCAAAGGAAUUGACGGGGGCCCGCACAAGCAGUGGAGUAUGUGGAUUAAUUCGAAGCAACGCGAAGAACCUUACCAGGUCUUGACAUCGUAUGCAUAGCUCAGAGAUGAGUGAAAUCUCUUCGGAGACAUAUAGACAGGUGGUGCAUGGUUGUCGUCAGCUCGUGUCGUGAGAUGUUGGGUUAAGUCCCGCAACGAGCGCAACCCUUACUGUUAGUUGCUACGCAAGAGCACUCUAGCAGGACUGCCGUUGACAAAACGGAGGAAGGUGGGGAUGACGUCAAAUCAUCAUGCCCCUUAUGACCUGGGCCUCACACGUACUACAAUGGCUGUCAACAGAGGGAAGCAAAGCCGCGAGGUGGAGCGAACCCCUAAAAGCAGUCUUAGUUCGGAUUGUAGGCUGCAACCCGCCUACAUGAAGUCGGAAUUGCUAGUAAUCGCAGAUCAGCAUGCUGCGGUGAAUACGUUCCCGGGCCUUGUACACACCGCCCGUCACGCCAUGGGAGUCGGUAACACCCGAAGCCUGUAGUCUAACCGCAAGGAGGACGCAGUCGAAGGUGGGAUUGAUGACUGGGGUGAAGUCGUAACAAGGUA
rnacentral:rRNA from 1 species